rnacentral:rRNA from 1 species
GUCCACGCCCUAAACGAUGUCAACUAGGUGUUGGGAGGGUAAAACCUUUUAGUACCGUAGCUAACGCGAGAAGUUGACCGCCUGGGGGAGUACGGCCGCAAGGUUAAAACUCAAAGGAAUUGACGGGGACCCGCACAAGCGGUGGAUGAUGUGGAUUAAUUCGAUGCAACGCGAAAAACCUUACCUACCCUUGACAUGUUCAGGAGUCCGAAGAGAUUUGGAUGUGCUCGAAAGAGAACUGGAACACAGGUGCUGCAUGGCUGUCGU